UACGAAGGGGGCUAGCGUUGCUCGGAAUCACUGGGCGUAAAGGGUGCGUAGGCGGGUCUUUAAGUCAGGGGUGAAAUCCUGGAGCUCAACUCCAGAACUGCCUUUGAUACUGAAGAUCUUGAGUCCGGGAGAGGUGAGUGGAACUGCGAGUGUAGAGGUGAAAUUCGUAGAUAUUCGCAAGAACACCAGUGGCGAAGGCGGCUCACUGGCCCGGUACUGGCGCUGAGGCACGAAAGCGUGGGGAGCAAACAGG
rnacentral:rRNA from 1 species